AAUGAACGCUGGCGGCAGGCCUAACACAUGCAAGUCGAACGAGGUAGCAAUACCUAGUGGCGGACGGGUGAGUAACACGUGGGAACGUACCCUUUGCUACGGAAUAGCCCUGGGAAACUGGGAGUAAUACCGUAUGAGCCCGAGAGGGGAAAGAUUUAUCGGCAAAGGAUCGGCCCGCGUUGGAUUAGGUAGUUGGUGGGGUAAUGGCCUACCAAGCCGACGAUCCAUAGCUGGUUUGAGAGGAUGAUCAGCCACACUGGGACUGAGACACGGCCCAGACUCCUACGGGAGGCAGCAGUGGGGAAUCUUAGACAAUGGGGGAAACCCUGAUCUAGCCAUGCCGCGUGAUCGAUGACGGUCCGUUAGGGUUAGUAAAGAUUCCUUUCGAGGGUAGGGAAGAU
rnacentral:rRNA from 1 species